rnacentral:rRNA from 1 species
GUGGGGAAUAUUGCACAAUGGGCGCAAGCCUGAUGCAGCAACGCCGCGUGAGUGAAGAAGUAUUUCGGUAUGUAAAGCUCUAUCGGCAGGGAAGAAAGGCCCUUAACAGGGAGAUGACGGUACCUGACUAAGAAGCCCCGGCUAACUACGUGCCAGCAGCCGCGGUAAUACGUAGGGGGCAAGCGUUAUCCGGAUUUACUGGGUGUAAAGGGAGCGCAGACGGCAGUGCAAGUCUGAUGUGAAAGCCCGGGGCUCAACCCCGGAACUGCAUUGGAAACUGUACAGCUUGAGUGUCGGAGAGGUAAGCGGAAUUCCUAGUGUAGCGGUGAAAUGCGUAGAUAUUAGGAGGAACACCGGUGGCGAAGGCGGCUUACUGGACGAUUACUGACGUUGAGGCUCGAAAGCGUGGGGAGCAAACAGGAUUAGAUACCCGAGUAGUCC